UGCAUAAGUCAAUCGCUGCCAGAAGGUAGAGGAAAGUCCGCGCUAGCACUAUCUGAGAUGAUAGUAAUGUUCAUGUUGAAUCUAAUAAAUUCAAGCCCAGACGACUAGUGCCACAGAGACGAGCUUAUUAAAUUAAGGUGAAACGCGGUAAACUCCAUGAGCUAGAAACCCAAAUUUUUGGUAGGGGAGCUCAACCUAGGAAUUCAACAAUGGUUGAGAAGCAAUAUUUGCUUAGAUAAAUGGUUGACUAAUACAGAACGCGGCUUAUUAAU
rnacentral:RNase_P_RNA from 2 species